rnacentral:rRNA from 1 species
AUGUACGGGCACCGCGGGGCAAUGAUGGGAAGCGGGGGGGUUUCGGAUGGGUACGAGGGAUCAAAGAGGCCACGAAUGAUGGAAUCGAAUCCAUACUUCGCAGUGAACGCAGGGAGCCCGUUGGACGUCUCAAAGCGGGCCAGGAUGAUGGAGCCAGGCCCCCCAUAUUUUGCAGGCAUGGGAAGCAGCGCUGGUGGCAGCGGCAGCGGCUUCUACCCAACCUAUGGCGGCAACAUGGCUGGUGCUGCAGGGGUUAACAGUGGCAUCCAAAACUUUCCAGCGGUCCGUCUGCGAGGGCUCCCUUUUGACUGCGAGGAUGUUGACAUCAGCAAGUUUUUUGCUGGGCUGGACAUAGUGGACUGCCUCCUGGUCCACAAGAAUGGGCGCUUCUCUGGCGAGGCCUUUGUUGUCUUCCCUUCAUCCAUGCAAGCGGAGUUUGCGCUGCACCGCAACAGGCAGAACAUGGGCAGGAGGUACGUGGAGGUUUUCAGAUGCAAGAAGCAGGAUUACUACAGUGCAAUAGCCGCUGAGGUGAACCAGGGCGGUCCUCUCCUUGAGCCGGAGCACCGGCACUCGUCGCCUCCUCUGCGGUCCAGGAGGCUGUCUGAAGACAAGAGCAGCAUGGAGUACACUGAGGUGCUGAAGCUGCGCGGGCUUCCCUACUCCGCCACCAUCGAGGACAUCAUCAAGUUUUUUGUUGAGUACGAGCUGUCGGAGGAGAACGUGCACAUCGCUUACCGUGGGGACGGCAAGGCCACUGGCGAGGCCUUUGUGGAGUUCCCGACGGCCGAGGUUGCCAAGACUGCCAUGUGCAAGGAUAAGAUGACCAUCGGGACGAGGUACGUGGAGCUGUUCCCGUCAACCCCGGAGGAGGCGAGCAGGGCGAAGCCGCGAGGCAGGCAGUGA